ensembl:lncRNA
CAACCAUAUCACUGGGCAACAUGUCCCAGCGCCUCGCUGCCCUCACUGUAAAAGAGUUUUUCCUCAUAUCUAACCUAAAUCUUCCCUCUUAGAGUUUGAAACCAUUUCCCCUUGUUCUGUCACCACAGACCCCACUAAAGAAUCUCUACCCUUCGUUCCUGUAGCUCUCCUUUAGGUACUGAAAGGCCGUUAUCAGGUCACCUUGGAGCCUCCCCUUCUCCAGGCUGAAGAGCCCCAGCUCUCUCAGCCUGUCCUUGUAGAAGAGGCGUUCCACUCCAUGGAUUAGUUUUGUGGCCCUUCUCUGGACGCACUCCAACAGGUCCAUGUCUCUCCUGUACUGAGGACUCCACAUCUGGAUGCAGUACUCCAGCAGUGAGAGGUCUUGCUCCAAGGUGUGCUGGGUGAAACACGCUGGCCUCGGUUAUGGAAACCUAGAGAACGUGGUCAUGGGCGUCCCUUCGAUCUUCUGAAGCCUUCAGCUCCAUCAGAGAACUGAAGACCAGCCACUAGGACAAAAGGUACCGUUGCUAACAAAAGGCUGGGGUUGGUUAUGAAGCCUAUUUUUCUCAAAUGCUGGCUUCCUCAGGUCUAGGGGAAGCCAUCUCUGAACACCAGUCUGUUUUUGUGUGAGUGUGUGGCUGUGGUGCACGCAGCAAUGAGUGUGAU